GUCUCGAGAUAGAACCCUUGCCUUUUGAGUACCGUCCGUUUCCUCGGCAGGCUCGCCUGCCAAUGGGGACCCUUCAAACCCUUUGCAUAAGCAGUAAUCGUCUGAUAACAACCAAAUAUCAAAACUUUCAACAACGGAUCUCUUGGUUCUGGCAUCGAUGAAGAACGCAGCGAAAUGCGAUAAGUAGUGUGAAUUGCAGAAUUCAGUGAAUCAUCGAAUCUUUGAACGCACAUUGCGCCCUUUGGUAUUCCUUAGGGCAUGCCUGUUCGAGCGUCAUUUACCCCUUCAAGCCCAGCUUGGUGAUGGGCGUCUGUCCCGCCUCUGCGCGCGGACUCGCCUCAAAGACAUUGGCAGCCGUAUGUUGGCCCCGAGCGCAGCAGAAACGCGUCUCGUGCCCGGCGGAUCGGCUCUCCAGCAAGCCUCUUAUGCUCUUGACCUCGGAUCAGGUAGGGAUACCCGCUGAACUUAAGCAUAUCAAUAAGCGGAGGAA
rnacentral:rRNA from 1 species